rnacentral:rRNA from 1 species
CCUACGGGUGGCAGCAGUGAGGAAUAUUGGUCAAUGGGCGCGAGCCUGAACCAGCCAAGUAGCGUGAAGGAUGACGGCCCUACGGGUUGUAAACUUCUUUUAUAAAGGAAUAAAGUGAGGCACGUGUGCCUUUUUGUAUGUACUUUAUGAAUAAGGAUCGGCUAACUCCGUGCCAGCAGCCGCGGUAAUACGGAGGAUCCGAGCGUUAUCCGGAUUUAUUGGGUGUAAAGGGAGCGUAGAUGGGUUGUUAAGUCAGUUGUGAAAGUUUGUGGCUUAACCGUAAAAUUGCAAUUGAUACUGGCAGUCUUGAGUACAGUUGAGGUAGGUGGAAUUCGUGGUGUAGCGGUGAAAUGCUUAGAUAUCACGAAGAACUCCGAUUGCGAAGGCAGCUUACUAAACUGCCACUGACAUUGAUGCUCGAAAGUGUGGGGAGCAAACAGGAUUAGAUACCCCUGUAGUC